AUUGAACGCUGGCGGAAUGCUUUACACAUGCAAGUCGAACGGCAGCACGGACUUCGGUCUGGUGGCGAGUGGCGAACGGGUGAGUAAUGUAUCGGAACGUGCCCAGUCGUGGGGGAUAACGUAGUGAAAAUUACGCUAAUACCGCAUACGAUCUAUGGAUGAAAGCGGGGGAUCGCAAGACCUCGCGCGAUUGGAGCGGCCGAUAUCAGAUUAGGUAGUUGGUGGGGUAAAGGCCCACCAAGUCAACGAUCUGUAGCUGGUCUGAGAGGACGACCAGCCACACUGGAACUGAGACACGGUCCAGACUCCUACGGGAGGCAGCAGUGGGGAAUUUUGGACAAUGGGCGAAAGCCUGAUCCAGCCAUUCCGCGUGCAGGAUGAGGGCCCUCGGGUUGUAAACUGCUUUUGUGCAGAACGAAAAGGUUUCUACUAAUACUAGGAGCUCAUGACGGUACUGUAAGAAUAAGCACCGGCUAACUACGUGCCAGCCGCCGCCGUAA
rnacentral:rRNA from 1 species